rnacentral:misc_RNA from 1 species
UUUUUUGGGGAGAUGAUGGAAUGAAGAGAAAGGGGAAAAAUGAGAGGGGAAAUUCCGACUGCGGGUGCUAAAAAAAUAAAGAAGACGGCGACGAUGAUGAAGAUGAAGACGAAGAUGACGAUGAGAAUGGAGGGAGUAGGUUACGAGGAGCUUAAAAGGAGCCACGCAGUUGCGGCAACCAUACGCUACUAUGGGGGAUAGAGGCAUAGGCACCGGCAUAGCUUUGGUUUCUCGUUUAUUCUCUUUCUUCCUUUCACGCUUUCACACUUG